rnacentral:rRNA from 1 species
UACGUAGGGUCCGAGCGUUGUCCGGAAUUAUUGGGCGUAAAGGGCUCGUAGGCGGUUUGUCGCGUCGGGAGUGAAAACCAGGUGCUUAACACCUGGCUUGCUUCCGAUACGGGCAGACUAGAGGUAUGCAGGGGAGAAUGGAAUUCCUGGUGUAGCGGUGAAAUGCGCAGAUAUCAGGAGGAACACCGGUGGCGAAGGCGGUUCUCUGGGCAUUACCUGACGCUGAGGAGCGAAAGUGUGGGGAGCGAACAGG